CGACCAGCCGCGGCCAUGACACCUCCACCAGGAUGGGCACCAGAGCCGCAAAGAUAAAGACCGUCGAGAGGAGUUUUGUAUCCAGACCUGUGAUGAGUUAAAAGUCGUAGAAGAAAGAGCGAGUCCAAGCUCAUGGCACCGUGAAAGACGUUCCCUCCCGUCAAUCCAAAAAUGCGUUCCAAGUCGGGUGGAGCCAGCAUCUCAAAGUCAAUGACAGAGGAUUUAAAUCCAGGUGCGUACUCCUCAACCAGAUCGAAGCAUCGGUUUGCAAAGCUUUCCUGUUUCAUACAAAACUUAGCAGAUAUGAGACUUCCAAGAGUUUGUCACGUACUCUGGUUUUGGGGUCUUCCCAGCCUCCGUCCUUGAGAUGAUAAGGCGUGUAUUGCACGAACAUGUUGAUGACAUGCUUUCCUGUGGCAAAAAAGUAUAGCCAGUGAAGAGUUUUAUUUGAUGGGUACCAGGUGGGGAUAUGGUUCCAUCCAACGCAGACGGCGUCCUUAUGUGCUGUUAGAAGGUCCUGCAUGCUACAGAACAGGCAACUUCGAGAAUUUCUAGAGGCAAAGUUCUUACUUGUCUGCUCCAAGAUGUAUCGUUCC